UACGUAGGAUCCGAGCGUUAUCCGGAUUUAUUGGGUUUAAAGGGUGCGUAGGUGGCCUGUUAAGUCAGGGGUGAAAGACGGUAGCUCAACUAUCGCAGUGCCCUUGAUACUGAUGGGCUUGAAUGAACUAGAGGUAGGCGGAAUGUGACAAGUAGCGGUGAAAUGCAUAGAUAUGUCACAGAACACCAAUUGCGAAGGCAGCUUACUAUGGUUUUAUUGACACUGAGGCACGAAAGCGUGGGGAUCAAACAGG
rnacentral:rRNA from 1 species